rnacentral:lncRNA from 1 species
GGUCUCACUAUGUAGUUGAGACUGACCUAGAACUCACUAUGUAGCCCAGGCUGGACUUGAACUCACAGUGAUUCUUCUGCCUCAGCCUCCCGAGUGCUGGGAUUACAAGCAUGUGCUACCAUGCCCGGCCCAACACUAAUUUCAAUAAGUGGAAUAUUGGCAGCCUCUCCAGAAGUACUCCCAAGGAUCCGUCCCAGUCAUAGCACAGCCCUGCCUCCAGAAUACUUGAUCCUGAUGUGCACAUUCUCUCUUUCAGUGACGUGCAGUCCCACAAGGGAGCCUCAGAGCACAUUGCAGUCAUCUCACACACCAUACACAGAGAGAGUCACAACCAAAUGAAGAUGCAUGAAUCACACUGUAAGUGGAAUCAAUUUAAAACAUGUACUGAGAAACAAGGAGAAGAUGGUGGAGAGUGACAGACUUAGCAUAGGAAAUAGAGAAGUGGAAAAGCCCAUCACCUGAGGCCUGAGGAAUGCAACAAUCCUGUGUCUUCCCUGCUUGUCUGCUGCAUCAGCCUUCUCUUCUGAUUACGCGGUCACCCUGCAUGAGGAUGUGCAGCAAGGAACAGUAUAUAAAAAGUCUUGGAGCCAGCAUUUACCUACCACACUCGAUCUGUUGGACAGAUGCAGAGAAAAAGCACACAAGUGGAAAAGUGAAGUUCACUGGGAAUUGCUGACUAGCCACAGCUUUAAUAUGUUUGUCUCUGGCAGAAGGAGGUCA